GAUGAAGAACGUAGCGAAAUGCGAUACUUGGUGUGAAUUGCAGAAUCCCGUGAACCAUCGAGUCUUUGAACGCAAGUUGCGCCCGAAGCCACUAGGCCGAGGGCACGCCUGCCUGGGCGUCACACGCCGUUGCCCCCCCAUCUACUCCUUCGGGAUUGCGGGGGGGCGGAUGAUUGCCUCCCGUGCGCCUAGCCGCGCGGUUGGCAUAAAUACCAAGUCCUCGGCGACGCACGCCACGACAAUCGGUGGUUGCGAAACCUCGGUUGCCCGUCGUGUGCGUUCGUCGCGCAUCGAGGGCUCGAAAAAAUGCUCGGCUCCGGCUGGGCUUUCAACGCGACCCCAGGUCAGGCGGGGUUACCCGCUGAAUUUAAGCAUAUCAAUAAGCGGAGGA
rnacentral:misc_RNA from 1 species